AUUAAGCUCAAGCAGUUUCCUCAUUUUUGGUAAGCAGCCCAGACAUGGCAGCCCAAACCGUUGCCCAUGCCACACCACUUCCUCGGCCCAUGCCGAGCUAAUCCUUGGCUUCAAUCAAGCCGAGCAGAACAAGCAAUGGCCCCUGCCACACCACCUCAUUGGCCCAUGACAAGUCAACUUUUUACCCCUGCCAGUUGACGUGCCGCACCACCCUGACAGCUGCCCCGUGGCAACACCUCCCAAGAAGAAGACAAUGAGAAUUAAGUUUUCCUUACAUCGGUGCGGCGCGAAGAAGACGAAGAAAGCAACGAAAGACGGUCAUUUGCACGGGCAAGUGUAGAAGAUUGCUAAG
rnacentral:lncRNA from 1 species